AGAGAGAGAGAGAGAGAGAGAUAGAAUGAAUCUGAUACAUGGGUGCGAUAGGUGUUCAGGUGGGGUGAGCGUUGAGGUGGGGGUGGUUGCCAGGGGGUUGAGAUAGGGAAAGGAGGAGGAGAAGUGGGGAAUUGUGUUUUUUUUUUUUCUUGUGAUGUUAUUUUAUUUGUUUAAUUAAUUUCUAGAGAAUAUAUAUAUGAGUGGGCUUCACAUAUUUAAUUAAAUAUUUUAUCCAUGUAGAGGUGGAAAAACUAUACAAUACUACCGUAGCACCAGCUGGUGUUGCUGCUUGGUACUACGGUCUAAUAAGAUUAACCCAUGUGUACAACUUAGACAUGCAACAUAACCAUAAAAUUUU
rnacentral:lncRNA from 1 species